rnacentral:rRNA from 1 species
CGCGAGACAGUUCGGUCCCUAUCUAUCACGGGCGUAGGAAAUUUGAGGAGAGCUGACCUUAGUACGAGAGGACCGGGUUGGACGUACCAAUUGUGCAUCUGUUGUUCUGCCAAGGGCAUAGCAGGGUAGCGAAGUGCGGAGCAGAUAAACGCUGAAAGCAUCUAAGCGUGAAACUGACCUCAAGAUAAGAUAUCCCAUAUCAUAAGGUAGUAAGACCCCUUGAAGACGACGAGGUAGAUAGGUCGGAGGUGUAAGUGCAGUAAUGUAUUGAGCUGACCGAUACUAAUAGGUCGAGGGCUUGAUCUC